rnacentral:rRNA from 1 species
GUAGGGGGGGCAAGCGUUGUCCGGAAUCAUUGGGGCGUAAAGCGCGUGUAGGGCGGCUUGGUAAGUCCGGGUGUGAAAACUUGGGGGCUCAACUCCAAGCCUGCAUCGGAAACUGCCUCGCUAGAGUCCGGGAGGGGAGAGCGGAAUUCCUAGUGUAGCGGUGAAAUGCGCAGAUAUUAGGAAGAACACCGGUGGCGAAGGCGGCUCUCUGGAACGGUACUGACGCUAAGACGCGAAAGCGUGGGGAGCAAACAGGAUUAGAUACCCUGGUAGUCCACGCCGUAAACGAUGGGCACUAGAUGUGGGCGGUGUCGACUCCGUCCGUGUCGUAGCUAACGCAUUAAGUGCCCCGCCUGGGGAGUACGGCCGCAAGGCUA